rnacentral:rRNA from 1 species
AUUGAACGCUGGCGGCAGGCCUAACACAUGCAAGUCGAGCGGAUGAAGGGAGCUUGCUCCUGGAUUCAGCGGCGGACGGGUGAGUAAUGCCUAGGAAUCUGCCUGGUAGUGGGGGAUAACGUCCGGAAACGGGCGCUAAUACCGCAUACGUCCUGAGGGAGAAAGUGGGGGAUCUUCGGACCUCACGCUAUCAGAUGAGCCUAGGUCGGAUUAGCUAGUUGGUGGGGUAAAGGCCUACCAAGGCGACGAUCCGUAACUGGUCUGAGAGGAUGAUCAGUCACACUGGAACUGAGACACGGUCCAGACUCCUACGGGAGGCAGCAGUGGGGAAUAUUGGACUAUGGGCGAAAGCCUGAUCCAGCCAUGCCGCGUGUGUGAAGAAGGUCUUCGGAUUGUAAAGCACUUUAAGUUGGGAGGAAGGGCAGUAAGUUAAUACCUUGCUGUUUUGACGUUACCAACAGAAUAAGCACCGGCGAACUUCGU